CAGCAGCCGCGGUAAGACAGAGGAUGCAAGCGUUAUCCGGAAUGAUUGGGCGUAAAGGGCUCGCAGGCGGUUUCUUAAGUCUGAUGUGAAAGCCCCCGGCUCAACCGGGGAGGGUCAUUGGAAACUGGGAAACUUGAGUGCAGAAGAGGAGAGUGGAAUUCCACGUGUAGCGGUGAAAUGCGUAGAGAUGUGGAGGAACACCAGCGGCGAAGGCGACUCUCUGGUCUGUAACUGACGCUGAGGAGCGAAAGCGUGGGGAGCGAACAGGAUUAGAUACCCGUGUAGUCCCUGUCUCUUAUAA
rnacentral:rRNA from 1 species